rnacentral:rRNA from 1 species
AUUGAACGCUGGCGGCAUGCCUUACACAUGCAAGUCGAACGGCAGCACGGGAGCAAUCCUGGUGGCGAGUGGCGAACGGGUGAGUAAUAUAUCGGAACGUGCCCAGUCGUGGGGGAUAACGCAGCGAAAGCUGUGCUAAUACCGCAUACGAUCUACGGAUGAAAGCGGGGGAUCGCAAGACCUCGCGCGAUUGGAGCGGCCGAUAUCAGAUUAGCUAGUUGGUGGGGUAAAGGCCCACCAAGGCGACGAUCUGUAGCUGGUCUGAGAGGACGACCAGCCACACUGGAACUGAGACACGGUCCAGACUCCUACGGGAGGCAGCAGUGGGGAAUUUUGGACAAUGGGCGCAAGCCUGAUCCAGCAAUGCCGCGUGCAGGAUGAAGGCCUUCGGGUUGUAAACUGCUUUUGUACGGAACGAAACGGCCCUUUCUAAUACAGGGGGCUAAUGACGGUACCGUAAGAAUAAGCACCGGCUAACUACGUGCCAGCAGCCGCCGCCGUAA